UACAGAGGUGGCAAGCGUUGUUCGGAAUUACUGGGCGUAAAGGGCGCGUAGGCGGUUCGUUAAGUCCUGUGUGAAAUCCCCCGGCUCAACUGGGGAACUGCACAGGAAACUAGCGGGCUUGAGUUCGGGAGAGGGAAGCGGAAUUCCGGGUGUAGCGGUGAAAUGCGUAGAUAUCCGGAGGAACACCGGUGGCGAAGGCGGCUUCCUGGACCGACACUGACGCUGAGGCGCGAAAGCUAGGGGAGCAAACGGGAUUGAGAUACCCGGAGUAAGU
rnacentral:rRNA from 1 species